ACAGAACCCAAAAGCAUGCUGUGUGUGCAGGGGGGACCGGGCGCUCCUCUGCGUUGGGUGGUGCACAGGGAGCACUGCUGCUGCUGCACGCACAGUGCUGAGGCUGGGGACACCCUCGUCGGACAAGACAGCAGCCCCCUUCCACACUGGCACGGGCUGCGAGCCCCCAACACUGCCCGUCAGGUAACGGGAGAGGUAGGCGCGUGGCACCACAACGCCAAGAGCUGCACAAACCCCAGCGCAGGUUCUAAGGAUUUUUACCUUAAAGUACACAGCUGCUUUUCAGUAAAACAUGCCACAUGUGUUAACAUGUAAUAGCCCUAUUUUGUCAGCUUUAAGUAAGUUAGUGACGUUCUGAGCCCGUGGGGUCGGACUAUGGCGAGCACCAACAGACAGAGCCCACAUAUGCGGCUGCCGGCGUCCUCGAUGACGCUGAAGGGUGGAAAGAAGUGGUGUGACCAGAGGCCUGAGGGCCAGACCUGGGGCCGCCAGCCGCAGGGCUGGAGUCUGGAUACUGC
rnacentral:lncRNA from 1 species